rnacentral:lncRNA from 1 species
UAAAUGUUUAAGUGCUUUUGUGCCUAACUUAUAUUGCCAGCCCUUUUUGUUCUCUAAAAAUAUAUGUUUUUGUGGUGCUUAAAUUUUCUUUUUAUUAAGUCUUAGAUGCAGAAACCUUGCCUGUGAGUUUAGAAAGGGCUUUUGAUUUUACUUUUUUUUUUUUCUGCUCAUGAAAAUAACACAGUCCUACAGAAUCUUUUAGUUUAACUGAGCAUCUGUAGAAUUAUUUAAGAUUUCAAAAUAUGGAAUAUAUAACCUUCAUAUUGAAAAGUGCUUUAAUUUAUGGUCACAAUACAAUUUGCAUAAUUCAGGUAAUUAGUUUAAAAGAAUGGAGCCCUUUCAUCCUUAACCUAAGGUACACGUUUUUUUCUAGUAUGGUGCUUUGCACAAAGUGACGUCUGAAAAAUGGUUCCCUUUAAGAUAAUGACUUCAUAUAAUCAUUGUUUAAUGUUACUUGUCAUGGAGAAUGUUAUUUCAGGUUGAAACUGGAAUUCUUAUUUCUCACAUUAAGUAUUUCUUUAUUGGGAGCAACUAUAACUAUGGUUAAAUGCAACAUGAGCUGCGUCAAUACUGUUCAUUUGAAGUCAUGUUGUCCGUGUAUUAUGAUUUGCUGAUUUAUUUAUGCAUGUAAACUGGG